GCUCAAUAAGCUCAAUUGGUUGAGCGGAACUCUGAAGAUGUUUAGGUUAUAAGUUCGAAUCUUAUAUUGAGCA